rnacentral:lncRNA from 1 species
CCACCCCAGUCUGUCAUCCCCCAGAGUUGCCACCUAGCCACUGGACACGCAGUGUCCACAGGGGGUGCCCACCUGAGCUGCCAACCAAAUGGGUGACGGGCAGGCCCUGGAAGGGUGGGGCAUGUGCCAGGUGGGGCUCAGGUGACCCUGAGUGUGGGGUCAGGAGUCGCUGCAAGGACUACAGAGGUGGCCACAGGGGAACCCUCUUUCUCCACCAGUGUGGCCACUUCCUGUCCUACAGCUGGCCCCCUGGACAUCAGGCCCCAGCCUCAGCAGGUGACCAUCCCAGGUACCAGAGACCCUCAGCCCUUCGGCAUCAAGCCAGCAUCCGUUCCUCUGCAGGGUCUCUGUUGGCUCCCGUGAGGGCCCCAGAAGGGCUCGUGGGAUCAGGGCCCUGAGGGGGCCUGUGCCUGUUCAUCCCCACCCUCCAUCUGUGACCUCAGGCCCUCCUUCAGCCCCUGGACUUGGUCAGGCUCAGGGACUACACGGGACAGGGUCUGAGGGCUGUCCUUUCCUAACAUCCCCGAGGUCAUGGCUUGGUUGGGCACUUACAAAGUGCCAGGGACCCAAGAUCCCACCGUGCACACAGGGCCACAGUGGACACCCUCCAGGGAAGCCUGGGCCUCCUCCCCAGGGUCAGGGUGGGUGCAGGGCCUCCCCUUGGCAGGAUUCCUGGGCCAGGGCCCAGCCUGCUGCAGCCCUUCCCUUCCAGAGUCCCUCAGCUCCCAGGUCACCUCCACACCCGCCCUUGUACUCCCUGGGCCUGGAACGACCCCCCUCUUCCACACACCCAUCCAGUAAUAUGAGCUUCUCUAUGAACCAGGCACUGGACUCGGCAAGGGACAGUUUUUAGGCCCUGCCCCUUCGGGGCACGCUUCCCCUGGGGACAGUCAUUGGAGCACAUUUAUGUCAUUGCUGCCACAUCCUCAAUCUCGGGCGAGCCCUCUUGCAGGU